GAGGUAGAACAGAAAAUAGUAAGCACUGCUAAUUCUUACCGCCCAGGGUUAAAAUCCAUGGCUACCUCA
rnacentral:tRNA from 1 species